rnacentral:tRNA from 1 species
GCGAAGGUGGCGGAACUGGUAGACGCACUGGAUUUAGGUUCCAGCGCCCCAAAGGCGUGAGGGUUCGAGUCCCUCCUUUCGCACCA